GUAUGUAAACUUCCGACUUCAACUGUAGUCAGUUGUAGAACUGAAUGCAUUCAACUGAAUUGUGUCUCCACAUUUAACCCAACCCCUCUGAAUCAGAGAGGUGCGAGGGGCUGCCUUAAAUCGACAUCCACGUCUUCGGUGCCUAGCUAGUUAACGUACAUCAGUUCAAAACCAACACCAAACGUUGGGCAAAUUGUCAUUACCUUACAAUGCAUGCAAUGGACUUUUGCAACACGAGCUAACUAUCUACUACAUAGUCCAAGUUACGGUUCACAGUGGUGGAUGUAGGGGCAUACGGCAGAAAAGCGAUGGUGGAGUGUUUUAAGAGAGUUAUUUUGGGUCCAAACUGCUGUAGAAGAUCCUCGAUUUACACCCGCCAGCUGUCCUGCCAGGUACCACAACGCCAAAUCCUCAUGUUUUCCUGGGAGAUGCAGCUUUCCCCCUACAUGAGAACCUCAUUUGCCCAUAUCCCGUUGUCCAUCUCAAUGAACCUGGGCGUACCUACAACUGCUGCCACUCUCGUUGUCGGAGAGUCAUAGAGAAUGCAUUCGGCAUCAUGGCUGCAAAGAUUAGGAUUCUUGGUUGUCCAAUCGAGUGUACCCCUGAAAAGGCUAAGAACAUUGUGAAGGCAUGUGUGGCCCUCCACAACAACCUGUCUUCCACAGAUGAAGCUCAUGAGCCAAACGCUAGAUACGUGCCUUCCGCUUUUGCUGACACGUCCCUCCCUUCUGGUAACUACCAACCUGGAGAGUGGAGGAGGGUUGUGGCAGAGGACAACAAUCUCCAAGAGCCAGGGAGACUCGGCUUGCAAGUGAAACAAGGAACAAGCUCAGGGACUUCUUCCUCUCCCCCCUGGACUUGCCAUGACAAGGUUAGGAGAGUACAACUCAACCCAAGGCCAGGAAAUACUGCAGAAUAGGCCUUUGUUUGGAUUGCAAACACACACACCCCUUGAUGGACUCACAGUUAUUUGUGUGCACUGUAAACCAAAGUACUUUGUACUAAAAUGCAGAGUUUUAAAUCUUGUUCAUAUAUUGAAACCUGAUUCUAUGACAUCUGUGCUCCCCAAGCUCUUGUUUAAGCCUGGGGUGGCAUAAGUCAUCACCUUUAACCCUCUACAGCUACACAUAUAUGUUUAUCAUCAUAUGAUUUCCUUUUCAUCACCAAGUAAUAUUAUAGAGUAUAGAGAGAAAACCCUGCAGGGCAUACCAUUUACGAUGUGGGAACUGGCACCUAGACCAAAAUGAAAGGAAGAAAAUGUAUAAAUCCAUUUGUACUGCUUGUUAUUGUUUUGACCAUUGCAACUGUCAACAGGAAGAAAUACCAAAAUGUAGCGUGCAGAGGCGUUUAUGUAAAUGAUUUGUGAGAUAUGCGUAAUGAAACCGCAUGGGAAUGUUUUUAAGGUGUUGUUAGUAAUGCAUUCAGCUACAAGUGUUCGUGCCCGACAAGACUAACGUAUAAAAUCAUAUCAGGAAAGGGUAACAAAAUGUGUAGGCCCAGGCCGGCGGAAAUACAAUCUUCGGCAAAAUCAUUCGCAAGGAGAUUCCUGCAAAAAUAUUAUUUGAAGAUGAACAUGUAAUAAAAAAAAAAAUGACUAAAAUGUAAUAAUUAUUAGUUUAUGAU